rnacentral:tRNA from 1 species
GGAUUGUGGCUCAGCUGUAGAGUGCUCACCUAGCACGUGAAAGGCCCUGGGUUCGAUCCUCAGCACCA